UUUUCUAUCGGCAAAAAAAAUUCUCGAUAAAGUUUCCAAUUGGUAUUCCGCACUUUCCUAAAUUCGCUCACUCGAUUUCAAAAUUAUUUUCGAGCUAUUCGUGACGGUAAAUCAAGUGUCGAUAGUUUAUUUUAUAUAAAAUAAAGUCGAUUGAAAAAUAAAAAAAAAUUUUAAAAACGCGGGAUAAAAUUCCGGUUACAAUAAAAAAGUUAUUUAAUUGAGUCAUUGAUAGCAUUGAGAAAAUAUAGAAAAAAAUAAACACACUUUGAGGAUUUCUCUCAGCUCGACAGCGGCUAAAUUCAGCGAUCGAUAGACAAGAUGCCUGUUUCUGGAGGGAACAUGAAAUCAAAUUUCGGAAUCGACAUUUUUCGGAUUCUCCUACUAGAGAUAAUCAUGGUGAUCUUAUUUAUGAAAUUUCUCACGACCUGUGGGAGCUCGUUCACUAGAAGACUCAAUAGAUAAUGAAAGCAUUCAUUUAUCUCGUGUUUUUUGGAAUCACACUCUUCUCCUUAAAAAAAUUAAUUGGCGUAGAAAUAAUUUAAAGACGUGGAGUUUUAUUUUAGUAAUUAUAAUUUAUUUCAUAAUACGUAAUCAGCAUAAUCAUUCAAUUUUCAUCUAACAUUAAAGAAGGUCAAAAGGAAAAAAUAGCAUUAUUCAAAUAUUAAACAAAAAAUUAAUACAUGAUUUCAUUUUUUUAAAUGGAAUGCUUGGGAUCAAUUAGAUAAUUAAUACUUAUAUUUACAAAUGUGCUGCAUAAUAAUUCAAUGGAAGAACUUUCAAACAACAAUGAUAAUCAUUUAUUAUUAUUAUUAUACUCAUUAUUAUCGAUGUUAGCACAAAAAUUCGUAUCAAUAAAAACCCGCACAUUCCAUUGUAUUUAACAUUAGAACAAAAAAAAAUUCUGUUUCGAUGAUUUAUCCAUGAUUUCAAUCAAAUUCAACAUUUUUAUAUUUUUAGAUGGCUCUUCUUUUUCUUCCAUUGAGGAAAAUAAAAAUGACAUUUACAAUUUAUAAAAAAUUUAAAUAUUUAAACGCUUAUAAAUGCUACGUUUUCGUAAAUGAAUCUUUGAGCUCAUUUGUAA